UACGGAAGGCAGCAGUGGGGAAUAUUGCACAAUGGGCGAAAGCCUGAUGCAGCUAUGCCGCGUGUAUGAAGAAGGCCUUAGGGUUGUAAAGUACUUUCAUCGGGGAGGAAAAACAAAACUAAUAAUUUUAUUUCCUGACGUUACCCGAAAAAGAAGCACCGGCUAACUCCGUGCCAGCAGCCGCGGUAAUACGGAGGGUGCUAGCGUUAAUCAGAAUUACUGGGCGUAAAGAGCACGUAGGUGGUUUUUUUAAGUCAGAUGUGAAAUCCCUGGGCUUAACCUAGGAACUGCAUUUUGAAACUGAAAUACUAGAGUAUCGUAGAGGGAGGUAGAAUUCUAGGUGUAGCGGUGAAAUGCGUAGAUAUCUGGAGGAAUACCUGUGGCGAAAGCGGCCUCCUAAACGAAUACUGACACUGAGGUGCGAAAGCGUGGGGAGCAAACAGGGAUUAGAUACC
rnacentral:rRNA from 1 species